rnacentral:snoRNA from 1 species
UGCAGCCAUGUCAAAUUUGGUGCCUACCCCACCGUGGCCAGUGUUGAGGAAGAAGGAUACCACAGGAAUGCUACGACACCAGGACCCUGGGAUCCAGGAAUAAAUUUGGUCACAGAAACUG